rnacentral:lncRNA from 1 species
AAUUUAUUCCAAGUGCUCCCGAUAGAUAUUCUUUUUCCCCUUAACAAAAUUUCCCCCAUACCAUCUCUUCUCUUUUAAUCCCUAAAUUUUCAUCUCCAAAUUCCCAAACCAUUUGCCACCGAAGACGCCGACCGGACCACCUGGUGCAUCGCCCUCGACUAACCUCUCUGCUGCGUCGCCAUCGCCGUCGGUCUCUACUCCUAAAAAAUAACUUUUGCUUACCCGCUCGUUGCUCCCUGUUCUUGUCAUCUAUGUUGCUCGCCCUAAAUCUCCCAAAUAAAAUUUAGCUACUCUUUUUCUCUCGUUACUCUUUUUCUUUUCACUGUCUAUAUAUAUCCGCCUCUCUCAUCUUCAUAAGUACUCUCACUUUGAAUACCCCCAUUUUCUUAUUGAUUUUGCAGAUCGGUUCUCUAAUCCUUUUUUCAAGUGUAGCGUUGUUUAUACGUUUGGUUGUUGUUGAAGAAGUGCUACUACCAUGGCUACAAAGAAGAGCGUUGGGGACUUAAAGGAAGCUGAUUUGAAGGGAAAGAAAGUAUUUGAUGGGUCAUGGUUCUAAAGUCAUCCUCUCUAGUCAUUUGGUACCUUCCGUUUAUUCCUUUUCUUUAGAUUUGAUUUCUUUAAUAAAAAUUUUCUUUUGAUCCCAUAUUUGGCUUCAAACAAGGGACCGAGCUUGGUUAUCGAGAAGUUUUGCUCCUGAGUUUUGGUCUUGCAGCUUUAGCACUGGCCAGUGUCAUCUCAAAUCUUGAUAUGGAAAUGGACCCUAAAACAGGAGAUUACAAAGCACUAACUGAACUGCUUCCCCUAAUAUUGGUCACA